rfam:Dialister invisus CAG:218 genomic scaffold, scf46
AAAACCCUGCUGUGCACGUGUCGCUUUAUAUUUUGAACCAACACCUUUAAAAAGGGAGUUCAGAAUCGAUUUGUGGAUUCAAUGCCCUUCUUCAGGGACUGAAGGAACAGGUCAUGAGGACACCCACCUGCAUCUAUGCAGACUCAAAAUACAGCAUUAAACGACAUGGUGGGGUCAUU